CCCAUAGCGACCUCGCUUGAGAUUAGUGCUAUUCGUAAAGGAAAUUCCUAUUAAGAAAGAUUCGACAAUAUUUCAAGCAUAUAAUAUACAUUAAUAGUAAAACUACAAAACUAUAUGAAUCAUUUAUGAGUAUCAUGGCAUAUAGUAUCAAAAUUUUCUCUCCGAGCACCAGUUAUUAAGAAAUUGGAAGUCAAAAUUUUAGAUUUAUACUAUUCUUUUGAUCAUUCUUCUAGUCCUAAAACCUCUUCUCCGGUUCAUCUCGUCUCCUGAAUCUUCAAGGUGAUGAAGAAGACGGACGGGGAAUAGGACGCCCUGCACAUGGAGUUGCUUGACGGCCGGGAGAAUGGAUUUCGGGGUGUUUGUGCACAAAGUAUAGAAAGCAUCGCAUGGGCCGUUGCCACUGCUCCUCCCUUUCCCGGGCAGCUGCCGCUCUGCGGCUCUUCCUCCACGAGCUGCUCGCUGCUCGCUGCUUUGCAGCCUCUAUCUUGUUGUGGCUGCUUCCCCUUCACUGUGGUGGCGAGCUUGGCCGGCCUGCUCGAGGCUCCAGUCAAGGGAGACACUUGAGGCUCACGUGGUUCUUCCUGAUAUUGGCUCGGGAGAGAGUUUGCAGUCGGUUCACAGAAAUAUUUGCACAUAAUGUGGAAUCAACAAUUACUAGGACGGACUCGGAAACUAUGAAACUGGUGAGCCGACCGCAGAUGCCCCGGGCGACCUCACCACGGGUCGUGAUGGCUAGCAAAGGAGCAUUGAUUGCUUGAACUCCGAGGAUAAUUGAGUGUUUAUCUGUCUUGACUAAUAUUUAAUAAUCGAAUCAAACGCCUCUUUUGGUUAUUCCUUGGAAUUUAGCCGAUUUAUUAAGAUCACUUUCAACUCGAAAGGAAUAACAGUUAAUUCUCAGUUAUAUUGCAUUAUUAUGU